UACGUAGGGUGCAAGCGUUAAUCGGAAUUACUGGGCGUAAAGCGUGCGCAGGCGGUUUUGUAAGUCUGUCGUGAAAUCCCCGGGCUCAACCUGGGAAUUGCGAUGGAGACUGCAAGGCUAGAAUCUGGCAGGAGGGGGUAGAAUUCCACGUGUAGCAGUGAAAUGCGUAGAGAUGUGGAGGAACACCGAUGGCGCAAGGCAGCCCCCUGGGUCGAAGAUUGACG
rnacentral:rRNA from 1 species